rnacentral:tRNA from 1 species
AAAGAUUUAGGAUACUAGACCAAGAACCUUCAAAGCUCUAAGUAGAAGUUAAAAUCUUCUAAUCUUU